rnacentral:rRNA from 1 species
CGAAGGAUGCAAGCGUUAUCCGGAUUCAUUGGGUUUAAAGGGUGCGUAGGCGGACUGAUAAGUCAGUGGUGAAAUCUCUUUGCUUAACAAAGAAACUGCCAUUGAUACUGUCGGUCUAGAGUAUAGAUGACGUUGGCGGAAUAUGACAUGUAGUGGUGAAAUACUUAGAUAUGUCAUAGAACACCGAUUGCGAAGGCAGCUAACGAAACUAUAACUGACGCUGAGGCACGAAAGUGCGGGGAUCAAACAGGAUUAGAUACCCUGGUAGUCCGCACCGUAAACGAUGAUUACUCGUUGUUGGCGAUAUGACAGUCAGCGACCAAGCGAAAGCGAUAAGUAAUCCACCUGGGGAUACGCCGGCAACGGUG